GUCUGAGCCGGACUCCGGCCGCGCCGGGAGGCCGCCUUGACCCCGCGCGGAGGGUCCGCCCCGUUGUUGUAUAAGCCACCCCGCGGGCCGGCGACGGAGCUGGCCGCGGCGGCCGCACCGGCUCGGGCUCUGCCAAGGGACCCGGCCUGCCCCAAUGCCGCCGGCGGGCGGUGCCCGGUCGACCCUGCACCUGACUGCGAGGCGCGGGAAAUGACCGGGUCUGUCAGCCUCCCAUCGCGGCUUCCGUCUACAGGUCAGGAUGGCUAACUGGUUGGCUCCCCACAUGGUGCCCUACGUCUAUAUCACACCUUAAAGAAGCUGAAGAGAAGAUGUUAAAAUGUGUGCCUUGCACAUACAAAAAAGAACCUGUUCGUAUAUCUAAUGGAAAUAAAAUAUGGACACUGAAGUUCUCUCAUAAUAUUUCAAAUAAGACUCCACUUGUCCUUCUCCAUGGUUUUGGAGGA
rnacentral:lncRNA from 1 species